GGGAUUGCCCCAGUAACGGCGAGUGAAGCGGCAACAGCUCAAAUUUGAAAUCUGGCCCUAGGCCCGAGUUGUAAUUUGCAGAGGAUGCUUUUGGUGACGCGCCUACCGAGUCCCCUGGAAUGGGGCGCCACAGAGGGUGAGAGCCCCGUAUGGUUUGACGCCGAGCCUCUGUAAAGCUCCUUCGACGAGUCGAGUAGUUUGGGAAUGCUGCUCUAAAUGGGAGGUAAAUUUCUUCUAAAGCUAAAUACCGGCCAGAGACCGAUAGCGCACAAGUAGAGUGAUCGAAAGAUGAAAAGCACUUUGAAAAGAGGGUUAAAUAGCACGUGAAAUUGUUGAAAGGGAAGCGCUUGUGACCAGACUUGUGCCGGGCGGAUCAUCCAGCGUUCUCGCUGGUGCACUCCGCCCGGCUCAGGCCAGCAUCGGUUUUUGCCGGGGGACAAAGGCUUCGGGAACGUGGCUCCCUUCGGGGAGUGUUAUAGCCCGUUGCGUAAUACCCCGGCGGGGACCGAGGACCGCGCUUCGGCAAGGAUGCUGGCGUAAUGGUCAUCAGCGACCCGUCUUGAAACACGGACCGAGGAGUCAAGCAUUAGUGCGAGUGUUUGGGUGUAAAACCCGCACGCGUAAUGAAAGUGAACGUAGGUGAGAGCUUCGGCGCAUCAUCGACCGAUCCUGAUGUUUUCGGAUGGAUUUGAGUAGGAGCAUUAACGCUUGGACCCGAAAGAUGGUGAACUAUACUUGAAUAGGGUGAAGCCAGAGGAAACUCUGGUGGAGGCUCGCAGCGGUUCUGACGUGCAAAUCGAUCGUCAAAUUUG
rnacentral:rRNA from 1 species